AAUAGCUGGGUUAUUUUUUUAACCCAAUAGAUGGGUUACACAUAUUGGGUCACUGUGUUGGGUUAUUUUCUAAAACGUUGGGUUAUUUUUUAAACAUCGUUGGGUUGUUUUUAAUAAUAACCCAGCGUUGGGUUUAAUUGGUUCCCGCGGCGACAGUUCAAAUUUUAACGGACGACGGUGACUGACAACAGAAGAAGCUGCUGCUGCAUCAGUAUGAGAUCAGUGGUUUAUACUUAUUUUUAGACAUUGGGUUCUUCAGUGAAGGGAAAACUACAACAGUGGAAUCUCAUACAUUAAACAUACACAUGCCAAUUAACUGAAAUAUUUCAAGAGGAAGGAGUCAAUGAAGGAAGUUUUAUGCGACCGGAUGACACCAGCAUUGCUGCACUAACUCCAAGAACUCCUCCCAAGUUUUUAGCAUUUUCAACGGUGAAGCAGUGGAACAGAAGACCUUACUACAAGCAGUGGAUCUGUGUUUCAAACAUUUCUACAUGUAUGACAUCAACUACCCAAAGCUCCUCUGCACCCAUUUGCAGCACACUGUCUUUAAUAUUCCAGGAGUUCUUUCAACACAUUACCUCUUCCUUAGAAACUUUGUAUUUAUUGAUCUGUAAAACUUUUUAUGUUGCUGAUUAUCAGCAAGUCCAGCAGCCAGCAGAUUUACUUUGUUUUAUUAUUAUUAUUAUUACUUGUGUUUAUGAUUUUUUAUUUUUGUUUUAUUGAUAAAGGUUUGUAUGUUAUGUUUGUUUUAUUUGUGCACAUUUGUGUAUGUGUUGAUAUAAAUAAAUAUGAAUUGAUACACAUUUAUGACCCUGGACAACAAAACCGGUCAUAAGUAUCAUGGGUACAUUUGUAGAAAUAGCCAAAAUUGCAUUGUAUGGGUCAAAAUGAUCAAAUUUUCUUUCAUGCCAAAAAUCAUUAGAAUAUUAAGUAAAGAUCAUGUUCCAUGAAGAUAUUUUGUAAAUCUCAUAGGUAUAUCGAAACUGAAUUUCUUAUUAGUAAUGUAUUGCUAAUAACUUCAUUUGGACAACUUUAAAGACAAUUUUCUCAAUAUUUAGAUUUUUUUGCACCCUCAGAUUCCAGAUUUUCAAAUAGUUGUUCUAUCCUAUCAAACCACAUAUUAAUAGAAAGCUUAUUUAUUGAGCUUUCAGAUGA